rnacentral:piRNA from 1 species
UCCAGUCUCUUGAGGGUUAGGUGCAUCUUCU